UUUUUAUUGCAAUAGUCACAUGUAAGAUUCUUGAAUUUGGACCUUGACUUGCUUCUACUUUUAUCUCUAUAAUUUGAAUCUCUGGGCUUAUUUCUUCCCCUCUCUUCAGUAACCAAAACAUUAGAGUGUGAAGAUGAAGAAGAUGAGGCCUGAGAUCUUCUUCUCAUCUCUUCAUUCAAAACACCACUCUUUACAUAUUCCAUAGUUACAAUACCACCAGGAGCAGAAUUAGUCAAAGAAACUCGAAGAGUUUCCCAAGAUCAGGUAGAGUAUUAAGAAGCCAAAGUCCCUGAAUUUCUUCAUCGAACUUUACA
rnacentral:lncRNA from 1 species